GAUGAACGCUGGCGGCGUGCUUAACACAUGCAAGUCGAACGGGAUCGGCUGGAGCUUGCUCCGGCCGUGAGAGUGGCGAACGGGUGAGUAAUGCGUGACCGACCUGCCCCAUACACCGGAAUAGCUCCUGGAAACGGGUGGUAAUGCCGGAUGUUCCAGUUGACCGCAUGGUCCUCUGGGAAAGCUUUUGCGGUAUGGGAUGGGGUCGCGUCCUAUCAGCUUGAUGGCGGGGUAACGGCCCACCAUGGCUUCGACGGGUAGCCGGCCUGAGAGGGCGACCGGCCACAUUGGGACUGAGAUACGGCCCAGACUCCUACGGGAGGCAGCAGUGGGGAAUAUUGCACAAUGGGCGCAAGCCUGAUGCAGCGACGCCGCGUGCGGGAUGACGGCCUUCGGGUUGUAAACCGCUUUUGACUGGGAGCAAGCCCUUCGGGGUGAGUGUACCUUUCGAAUAAGCACCGG
rnacentral:rRNA from 1 species